rnacentral:rRNA from 1 species
AAGACCUUGCGCUUUUGGAGCGGCCGAUGUCUGAUUAGCUUGUUGGUAAGGUAAAAGCUUACCAAGGCUUCGAUCAGUAGCUGGUCUGAGAGGACGGCCAGCCACACUGGGACUGAGACACGGCCCAGACUCCUACGGGAGGCAGCAGUGGGGAAUUUUGGACAAUGGGGGCAACCCUGAUCCAGUCAUGCCGCGUGAGUGAAGAAGGCCUUCGGGUUGUAAAGCUCUUUCAGCCGGAACGAAACGGUUACGGUUAAUACCCGUGACUACUGACGGUACCGGAAGAAGAAGCACCGGCUAACUACGUGCCAGCAGCCGCGGUAAUACGUAGGGUGCAAGCGUUAAUCGGAAUUACUGGGCGUAAAGCGUGCGCAGGUGGUUUUGUAAGUCAGAUGUGAAAUCCCCGGGCUUAACCUGGGAACU